rnacentral:rRNA from 1 species
CACCGCCCGUCACAUCACGAAAGUGGGUUGUACUAGAAGUCUGCAGGCUAACCCCCAAAGGGAGGCAGCGGCCCAAGGUAUGACUCAUGAUUGGGGUG